rnacentral:rRNA from 1 species
UACGUAGGGUGCAAGCGUUAAUCGGAAUUACUGGGCGUAAAGCGUGCGCAGGCGGUUAUGUAAGACAGAUGUGAAAUGCCCGGGCUUAACCUGGGAACUGCAUUUGUGACUGCAUGGCUAGAGUUUGGCAGAGGGGGGUAGAAUUCCACGUGUAGCAGUGAAAUGCGUAGAGAUGUGGAGGAAUACCGAUGGCGAAGGCAGCCCCCCUGGGAUAACACUGACGCUCAUGCACGAAAGCGUGGGGAUCAAACAGG